UACGUAGGGUGCGAGCGUUAAUCGGAAUUACUGGGCGUAAAGUGUGCGCAGGCGGUUUUGCAAGCCGGAUGUGAAAUCCCCGGGCUCAACCUGGGAAUGGCAUUUGGGACUGCAAGGCUCGAGUGCGGCAGAGGAGACUGGAAUUCCUGGUGUAGCAGUGAAAUGCGUAGAUAUCAGGAGGAAUACCGAUGGCGAAGGCAGGUCUCUGGGCUGACACUGACGCUCAUGCACGAAAGCGUGGGGAGCAAACAGG
rnacentral:rRNA from 1 species